rnacentral:misc_RNA from 1 species
UUCCCAAGCUUUAAUCAGUGACAACCUCUUCUCUGUUGCAACUUUUGCUAGCACAGCAUCUCUGUUUACAGAGCCCUCAGUGCUUUUGGGCUCAGCAGCUUCUGGAACCUUUCCAACGAGAACGAGAGCUUUGGAAUCAUCAGUUUUGUCGUCAGCCGGCGGGGGCGGGGGCGGAAUGACGGAUUUCUCCUCGGCGACGUCUUUGGGGAGUUCUUGGGGCGGUGGCGGAGGAGGAGGAGGAUCGGACGGCGGUGGUGAAUCGAUUUUCUUGGAUUCUUCAG